GCACUGAGGCCGGGCUGCUUUAGGAUCCCAAGUGGCAAGAAAGCUCACAUUUUUUGAGUUCAAAUGCUACUGUCUAAGCGCAAAGUCCCUCAUCCUGAAGUAGACUAGAGCCCGGCCACAAAUUCUGAGGAAAAACAAAAACUAAAGGAUGAACGAACGAACGAACGAAUGAAAACACACACAAAAUGUUUCAAGUUCCCCUAAAAUAUGACCCACUUGUUCCGGGUCUAAGGCAGAAAAGAGACGCAGAAUAGCCAAAAGGAAAGGAACAGAAAAGAAACAAAUUAAAAAAAAAAAAAAGCAAACAAAAAGACAAAGACACCGACCAUACAAACGAAGAAAUGAAGACGAGAAGGCCUCAUAUUCUAAUACCUCACUCAUUGACACGUGAGCAACACAAAGACAUUCACAAGGGCCGGCAUCACCAGACCAGCUGAGGACAACUCAGACUGACAGUUGGACAAACAUUGCGACGUUUUCGUUUAAGCAAAUACAGGUGCAUUUAAAAAACACGACUUUGGGGGUGAUUUGUGUGUAGCGCCUGGGGAGGGAGGGGGCACAAAAGCGGAGGAUCGAGCACUGGAAAUACUUUUUAAAGAAAAAGAAAAACACAAGAAAAAAAUCAGUAUCAGAAGUCAAAGCGAAACAAUACCGUCUGGCACUUAACUCUCAGGUCCCCCACUUAGUCAGGCCUGAGCUAAUUUAUUUGAGCGCAGAGUGUAAAAUUUUAAUUCAAAAUGGUGGCUAUACUCACUACACAUAAAUCUCAUAAUCUUUUUGUCUUUGGAGAUUCCAUUGUGGACAGUAAUACGCAGUUACAGGGUGUAGUCUGUUUAGAAUCCGUAGUUUGUGGGUAUCAGUUGCGGUAGAGAUGCAACAUUUGUGACUCUGUUGCUAACGGUUACCACUUCCGAUCGCCCUGUACAUACAUAUGCCGUAAGGCGCAAUCACUGUUUCAGACUUAAAAUUAUUAGUGUGUUUGUUUGGUCCAGAAACUGAGACAAUCACAUGACAGUCACCACGAGGAGAGAAAAAUAAAAAAAUAAAUAAAU
rnacentral:lncRNA from 1 species